GUGAACGCUGGCGGCGUGCUUAACACAUGCAAGUCGAACGGACUUAAGGGGCUUGCUUCUUAAGUUAGUGGCGCACGGGUGAGUAAUAUAUAGCUAACCUGCCCUUUAGUGGGGGACAACAGUUGGAAACGACUGCUAAUACCCUAUACUCCUUCUUACUAUAAGGUAAGUUGGGAAAGAUUUAUCGCUAAAGGAUGGGGCUUUAUUGUAUCAGCUAGUUGGUGGGGUAAUGGCCUACCAAGGCUAUGACGCAUACCUGGUCUGAGAGGAUGAUCAGGCACACUGGAACUGAGACACGGUCCAGACUCCUACGGGAGGCAGCAGUGGGGAAUAUUGCACAAUGGAGGAAACUCUGAUGCAGCAACGCCGCGUGGAGGAUGACGCAUUUCGGUGUGUAAACUCCUUUUAUAGGGGAAGAUAAUGACGGUACCCUAUGAAUAAGCACCGGCUAACUCCGUGCCAGCAGCCGCGGUAAUACGGAGGGUGCAAGCGUUACUCGGAAUCACUGGGCGUAAAGGAUGCGUAGGCUGGAAAUCAAGUCGAGAGUGAAAUCCAACGGCUCAACCGUUGAACUGCUCUCGAAACUGGUUACCUAGAAUAUGGGAGAGGUAGAUGGAAUUAGUGGUGUAGGGGUAAAAUCCGUAGAUAUCACUAGGAAUACCGAUUGCGAAGGCGAUCUACUGGAACAUUAUGACGCUGAGGCA
rnacentral:rRNA from 1 species